rnacentral:lncRNA from 1 species
CAUUACUUCUAUAAGAAAUAUAAUAGUUUGAAUAAAUUGGUAUCCAGGUUUGUCACUUAAGGAAACAUGUUUCCUGUAAUCUAGACACUUGAAGCGGGCAAGCAGCUAAAAUAAACUUAGUAUGAAGCUCUACAAUUCUCUCAUUGGUUCUGACAUACUGCAAUUCCCUCGUUGGUCCUGACAUAUUGGAUCCUUCAUCAUGCAUCCUGGGUUAAGGUGGUUAUACUUUCCAAGAAAUUUAAAAAAUCUUCUUGCUUCAGUUGCUUGUUACCUGUCAUACAAUGUGUUAUCUCAUCUCAACAAAUACUGGAGGACUAAUAGACACAGUCCUGGGCUAGUUGAAGUGGUUUCUGCAAAAAGGAAAUUCAUAAUAUUACAAAUUGCAAGCUGUCCAAAGAGAAAAAUCAGGUUAACUUGACGAUUUGACAGUUACAAUACUGGAGAAACUGGAAUUUACAAACUCAACUGGUACUAAAUAAUAAAGCAGAAUCAAGUUGUACAUCCACUUCUUUCUGUUGUGAAAAAACUUAUGCAUCAUGCAAAACACUGAAAUAACUACAGAAUUUGCACAAAUAGAAAUAGCAAGCUUGUGACACAGUAAUCAGGUUAUCCCGAUGGUGCUCAGACAUGUAAUUAGAAAAUAUUUGACUGGUGCAGACUGAAGUAACCAUCAACUAAAGUCGACCAUAGCUCCAAGAUCAAAAUGUAAUAAUCAUAAUACAAGUUUCCUUCAAGGAAAAAUUGUAACAUAUUUGCUUGUACUCUGGUAAUAGCUAUAAUCGUUCGUAAGAUAACCAAUAUGUAUUUUGACAAACUGAUGUAUAUUUUUUAUCCAUUUUUUGCGACCGGAUCGCCCAUCGAUGUAGGCAGGCAAACGCAUACAGGGACUUUGUGGCGCUGGCCUGAUAUAAUGUAAAUGUAGAGGUGCCAACUAUUAGUUACCUGGGAAAGACGAUGUGUUCAUCAGAGCCUGGACUCCUCUUUUCCCUUCUGUAGCUAAUUCAGGUUGGAAAAUUGAUGAAAAAUUCUUCAGUCAUCAUAUGCAGGAGUCACUCAAUCUGACGUAGUAGAGCAUGAGUCAUUACCUGGGAAAAAAUAGGAUGGGUGAACAAAAUAAUUAUUUCUCCUCAAUCUGACAAAGCAGAGCAUGAGUAUACCCAAAUAGUUAUAUAAUUUGCGUGCUUUUCCAUACUACCUAGAUAAUUAGAUUUCCUUGAAGGCAGAAUCCGUAAGAAAGGAAUAUGCAGAAAUUAGAAAACCAACAUAAAAGCAAACUAACAUUGUUCUAGCCUUACAAAAUCAGUUGUAUUAGUAAGAAAACCGAAACUUCUUACCCUGGUGCUUGCAGGUUUGAAUCACUCCAAGAGAUCAAUGGGCAAAUCAUGGUAGCUGCUUUGUUCUGCUGAUUGUGCCGACAUAGGGAUGGAUUGCAUCGCUAAUUUGACAGCCAAUAGCGAUGGGAGAACAUCUCUGACAAAAAACAAAUUCAUGAUGUGAUCUCUAUUCUCUGAUAGCCGGUGGAGAAAGGAGAUUGGAGAUAUAGGAAUAUAAUGAGGGGGUUGGGGGGUCCAAGGGGAAUUUAGGCCCAUCAGAUUUACUUCUAAAUACUGGCAUUGUGACUGAAAGAUCAAUUAUAUUGUUACAGAAAAACUACCGAAUGAAUGUGGAUUUCAUAGUUAGAAUUGCAAGAAAAUUUAAAUGAAUGUGCUAUAUUUUAAAAAAAUUCUAGCCUUGAACCCUUUUGCCACAGAACAAAGUAACCACAUACAUACAAAUCUAUAUAAUACUCGUACUACAGGCAGCUAGUUUAAUUUCUGUAUGUGCAACAGUUUCAAAGUCUGGCUAUGGAUCUUCAAAGAAAGGAUUAUAAGCUCUAGGAAUGAUAUUGAGAAAUCUGGAAAGAUUGUAUAACUUAAAUGUCAAUUAUACUACAUAGGAUAAAUAGUUGAAGUCUAGGCACCAUACCUCUAUUUACGCUAGAAGGCAGAAAGAUUAGAAACACCCUGCAGAUAAUCAGAGACUUAGUCUGUAUUCGCUAGAAACAGUAGAAAAUAUGCAAAUCCUAUAUCCAUACAGAAUAUCGACUUAUUUUGUUGGCUAACGCGGGGUAUGUAAUAACAUAGAAAAACAUCUGAAAGCCUCCUGCAAACUCCAAACCAAAUUGGCCAGCUGUAGCAUUUUCUUUGAAGGUCAGGUGUUUCAUUGUGUUCAUGUAGCAGCUCUGGAAUACAUGGUGUCGCUCUAGGAUGCAUAGUAAGGCUACAGCAGUCAGUAGAAGAAAAUAUGAGGAAGAUGGGCGAAGCCACACAUACCAAAGGAGCACAAGAUUGCAUGGAGGGGAAUUCAACCCAAAGCCAUCCCCAAGGUGCAGGAACGCGACGCCGUCCGGCACGUCCCCGAGACCCCAACGCCAUCUCUUGAAAAUAAACCGUGAGGGUACCUUGCAUGCCAGACUUACUUCAGAAAAGGCACUGGUUUCAAGAAUCCAAUGAACCGAUCGCCCAAGGUUGCAACAUCUGAAAAAAAUGACAGAUAAGCAAAUUCGGUCAGAGCGCAAAAGAACUAUGAAAACACAAAAUCUCUCAGUUUUGUACAGAUCAAUGGCAUAUUUAGGUGGUUUGUCAUGUUUCUAACAGAAUUCAGAUUCAACCAAAGGAGGUGUAUGACAACUGCAUUUGAUCCACUUAUUAAACUCGGCUGUACAUUCUAAAGUAUUAAAGUGGAACGUUAUGACUUGCAGAAGUGAGCUAUUGAGGCAGUAGAUAAAUUGUAUUGCUAUGGGGCAAUAUGGAUAGUAGUACAGGCAGACUUUGCACAAGUGGAAUCAUAUAUGUCUCCUCCCGCGUGUUGACCAGCUCGUCACAAAGCGGACUUGUGAUAAUAGCGGGAUCGGCUGUCUGUCAGGCCUCCAGGAACAGCAGGUUCUUCUCCUGAGCGCAGCCCUGCUUGGGUGGGUCUCAAAACCACAAAUCAGCAAGGAUUGAAGAGCAGUCUGAACCAAAAUUUCGGGGCGGCGCUCCGGUGGCGACGACGGCGGGGCCCGGUUGGAUCCGGGCGGAUCUGGCCGGGGUGGAUCCAUUUCCGGUGGAUUUGGCAUGGAGGCGGCCGGAUCCAGCGAGAUUGAAGGCCAACGACACCAUGGAGGUC